AUGGCGGAUGACGCGGGGGGGAACUGCGGUGGCUUCCGCGGAGUUUUCAGCAGUGGCAUCCGGGCGGGGGUCACCGCCGUGGACGGGACCGGGGCGGAGGCCGAGGAGCUCAUGGAGGCAAAGCCGAGCAUAAGGAGUGGAUGCCUGUCACCAAGCUGGGCCACCUGGUCAAAGACAUGAAGAUUAAAUCUCUGGGGGAGAUCUAUCUCUUCUCUCUGCCCAUCAAGGAAUCUGAGAUCAUCGACUUUUUCCUGGGGGCCUCUCUCAAGAAUGAGGUUUUGAAGAUUAUGCCGUUGCAGAAGCAGACCCGUGCUGGCCUGCGCACCAGGUUCAACGCGUUUGUUGCUAUUGGGGACUACAAUGGUCAUGUCGGUCUGGGUGUUAAGUGUUCCAAGGAGGUGGCCACUGCCAUCCGUGGAGCCAUCAUCCUGGCCAAGCUCUCCAUUGUCCCGGUGCACAGAGGCUACUUGGGGAACAAGAUUGGCAAGCCCCACACCGUCCCUUGCAAGGUGACAGGCAGCUGUGGCUCUGUGCUGGUGCACCUCAUCCCCAUGCCCAGGGGCACUGGGAUCAUCUCAGCACCUGUGCCCAAGAAGCUGCUCAUGAUGGCUGGUAUCGAUGACUGCUACACCUCAGCUGGGGGCUGCACUGCCACCUUGGGAAACUUCGCCAAGGCCACCUUUGAUGCCAUCUCAAAGACUUACAGCUACCUGACCCCUGAUGUCUGGAAGGAGACUCUAUUCACCAAGCCUUCCUAUCAGGAAUUCACUGACCACCUCGUCAAGACCCACACCAGAUCGAAGCAACUCUUUGUCUAUGUGGUUCAGAGCAGGGAUUCUUGGUUAGGAAUCUCUCCCCAUAUGUUGCUGUCUCAUCAACGCCAGUGCUUCCUCUUGGAAGGAGCAGAAUCAUUUCAUCUCCUCUUUAAUGAGUUACAUGCUAACUUGUUCUUUGGAUUUCUGUUUGGUUUCAGAGUCUGA